rnacentral:rRNA from 1 species
ACGGGGCCCGCACAAGCGGUGGAGCAUGUGGUUUAAUUCGAUGCAACGCGAAGAACCUUACCUGGGCUUGACAUCCCGGGAAUCCCUUGGAAACAAGGGAGUGCCCUUCGGGGAACCUGGAGACAGGCGCUGCAUGGCUGUCGUCAGCUCGUGUCGUGAGAUGUUGGGUUAAGUCCCGCAACGAGCGCAACCCUUGUCCUUAGUUGCCAGCAUUAAGUUGGGCACUCUAAGGAGACUGCCGGUGUUAAACCGGAGGAAGGUGGGGAUGACGUCAAGUCCUCAUGGCCCUUAUGUCCAGGGCUACACACGUGCUACAAUGGCCGGUACAAAGGGCUGCAAUACCGCAAGGUGGAGCGAAUCCCAGAAAGCCGGUCUCAGUUCGGAUUGGGGUCUGCAACUCGACCCCAUGAAGUCGGAGUCGCUAGUAAUCGCAGAUCAGCAACGCUGCGGUGAAUACGUUCCCGGGCCUU